GGCCCAGUGGCGGAAGGUCCGCGUCUGUGAUACUUGGGCUUGCAUCAUUGCAAUGAUCUUAAGCAGAAUAUGCUCGUUCGAAUCGAGCCUGGGCCA